UACGGGGGGGGCAAGCGUUGUUCGGAAUUACUGGGCGUAAAGGGCUCGUAGGUGGCCAACUAAGUCAGACGUGAAAUCCCUCGGCUUAACUGGGGAACUGCGUGUGAUACUGGAUGGCUUGGAUUUGGGAGAGGGAUGCGGAAUUCCAGGUGUAGCGGUGAAAUGCGUAGAUAUCGGGAGGAACACCAGUGGCGAAGGCGACUACCUGGCCUGUCUGACGCU
rnacentral:rRNA from 1 species